rnacentral:sRNA from 1 species
CCUGCUUGUUGCGUUCUCUAUCCUCUUCAUCUCCGUUUUGCCCCUCACCAUCCUUU